GAUGAACGCUGGCGGCGUGCCUAAUACAUGCAAGUCGAGCGAAGCGGGGACGGGUGCGUAACACGUGGAUAACCUCCUAUACGACUGGGAUAACUUCGGGAAACCGUUGCUAAACCGGCUACUUAUAGUUGGAUCCGCGCUGCAUUAGCUAGUUGGUAGGGUAACGGCGUACCAAGGCAACGCUGCAUAGCCGACCUGAGAGGGUGAGCGGCCACACUGGGACUGAGACACGGUCCAGACUCCUACGGGAGGCAGCAGUAGGGAAUCUUCCGCAAUGGGCGAAAGCCUGACGGAGCAACGCCGCGUGAGUGAUGAAGGUCUUCGGAUCGUAAAACUCUGUUAUUAGGGAAGCGGUACCUAAUCAGAAAGCCACGGCUAACUACGUGCCAGCAGCCGCGGUAAUUC
rnacentral:rRNA from 1 species